AACGUAGAAUUAAAAUAAAAAUUUCAGAUGCCCUAAGAAGAUGGAGCUUCAUUGAGACAAAUGGUAAUCAACUAGAGCAUUAUACCACGGCCAAGAACUUCCUUUUCAGGGUUAUGAAAACAUAGUUAAUAAUAAGAGAGUUAGUGCUUAAAAGAACAGAGAGGCAAGCAAUGUGGGAAGCCUAUGGUGAUGGUGGUGGACCCAUGUGCUGCCCACCCACCACAACCCACGAGCCAUUUCACUCCUUGGGGCGGCUCCUUCUGCAACCAAUGGUGCAAACCAUGUGAAAACCAUUGCUCAUUUCAUUGACCAUAAAAUAAAUAUAUAAAAAUUAAAUACAACCCUUUUGUUAUUAUUAUUAUUGUUAUUUCUUCAUUUCUUAAUGGUUAAUUAAAUGGUGUGGAGGUGCACAUAAAUCCAAAAGCACUUCAUUUUCUCGUAUUUGAUGCUGAGUCCUCUUGCUUCUGCAACUUCUCAACUGCUUCCCUUUGUUUUGUAGCUUUCGGCAAAGUGACAUGGAUGGACACACUUGAGAGCUGAGACUCUUUAGUUUUUUGGUACUUUACUCACGUAACGAUAAAACUAAAAAUUUUAAAAAAUUAGAGCGUUACACAGUGUUGGUAUUAUUAAGUACCUGAUGUAAUUUGAAUUGGAUACGUAUGUAUGUUUGUGAUUUGAUUUGAAAUUGAAUAAUAUCUACACCACGCACAAAAUUAUAAAAAGAGUGA